rnacentral:piRNA from 1 species
UGGAUACUGAGUGCUUUCGGAGAUGCAUGCC